UAUUGCUGGCGGCGUGCCUAACACAUGCAAGUCGAGCGAACCUUGGCAGCGUAUCGUCAAGGUGAGCGGCAAACGGGUGAGUAACACGUGGGUAAUCUGCCUUCAAGAGGGGGAUAACCCCGGGAAACCGGGGCUAAUACCGCGUAAGACCACGGUUCCGCAUGGAACUGAGGUUAAACCCCGACGCAAGUCGGGGGCUUGAAGAGGAGCCUGCGGCCUAUCAGCUAGUUGGUGGGGUAACGGCCCACCAAGGCUAAGACGGGUAGCCGGCCUGAAAGGGCGAUCGGCCACACUGGCACUGAGACACGGGCCAGACUCCUACGGGAGGCAGCAGUGAGGAAUUUUGGACAAUGGGGGAAACCCUGAUCCAGCGACGCCGCGUGGAGGACGAAGGUCUUCGGAUUGUAAACUCCUUUUGCAGGGGACGAAUGAGUAUCGUAACCCGAUACAGUGACGGUACCCUGUGAAUAAGCCACGGCUAACUUCGUGCCAGCAGCCGCGGUAAGACGAAGGUGGCUAGCGUUACUCGGAAUUACUAGGCGUAAAGGGCAGGUAGGCGGUUCGGUCAGUCUAUUGUGAAAUCUUCCGGCUUAACUGGAAGGGGUCAAUAGAUACUGCCGGGCUUGAGUGUGUGAGAGGGUGCUGGAAUUCCCGGUGUAGCGGUGAAAUGCGUAGAGAUCGGGAGGAACACCUAUGGCGAAAGCAGGCGCCUGGCACAUUACUGACGCUGAGCUGCGAAAGCUAGGGGAGCAAACAGGAUUAGAUACCCUGGUAGUCCUAGCUGUAAACGAUGUUCACUAGGUGUGGGAGGUAUCGACCCCUUCCGCGCCGACGCAAACGCAUUAAGUGAACCGCCUGGGAAGUACGGCCGCAAGGUUGAAACUCAAAGGAAUUGACGGGGGCCNGCACAAGCGGUGGAGCAUGUGGUUUAAUUCGANGCAACGNGAAGAACCUUACNUGGGCUAGAAAACAUGGAAACNUGGUAGAAAUAUCGGGGUGCUCCUCGGAGAAUCNGUGGUUAGGUGNUGCAUGGNUGUNGUCAGCUCGUGUCGUGAGAUGUUGGGUUAAGUCCCGCAACGAGCGCAACCCCUAUCACUAGUUACCAGCGGGUAAUGNUGGGAACUCUAGUGAGACCGCCGAUAUUCAAAUCGGAGGAAGGUGGGGAUGACGUCAAGUCAUCAUGNCCNUUAUGUCCAGGGCUACACACNUGUUACAAUGGUUGUUNCAAAGCGCUGCAAACCCGCGAGGGGGAGCCAAUCGCAAAAAAACAACCUCAGUACAGAUAAGAGUCUGCAACUCGACUCUUUGAAGUUGGAAUCGCUAGUAAUCCNUGAUCAGCAGGCAGGGGUGAAUACGUUCCCGGGCCUUGUACACNCCGCCCGUCACACCAUGGGAGUCGUUUGCUCCAGAAGUGCCUGCACAAACCCGCAAGGGAUGUAGGUCCCCAAGGAGUGAACGGUAACUGGGGUGAAGUCGUAACAAGGUAGCAAUCACUAGUGCGGCC
rnacentral:rRNA from 1 species